UAAAAUUUCUCCAGCGCACGUUUCAAAGCACCGGCGCCAACAUGAAGCUCAAAUUGGGCGUCUUAGCUUUUUGGUUUCAUCGAGCGCGAAAUUUGCAAAUUUUUGAUGAGCUGCUGCAGUGCUGUCUCCGGUAAGCAUUACCGACUUGAUGCCUAAAGAUUUCAAAUCGUUGAUUGCUUUUGCCGACCCUGUCCGACAUGUGUCAGACAGCGUAAAUACUCCGACUAAUACUGAAUCUGAGAUCACGUAUCCAAUGGGAAAGAGGAGAGAUGAAGAACAUGAAUAAUGGGGCCUAUUUGACUGUCUUCUGAAUAAGAUGGAUCUGCAUGAAUUGAACAACUAUCUCUCUGUGGAAGAUCUUCUUGACAAAUGAAUUUCUAAUGUUUUAUCAAAGGCUACUACGCUGAUCUUCGCCAAAGUUUCAAGGACAUCCCCACCUUUGAUGAGGAGCCCAGUUCUCGCAGCUUUGAGGAGUGCACAAAAGGUCGCAACGGGUGUUGAGAGCACCAGAGCACAGGGGCACGCGCUCACUAGGAGGACCAGUGCCAAUUGGUACCAGCCUUUGGGGUUCCGGACUAUUUUGUGACUCCAGAUUCUCGUUAUUAAGGGAACCAAUGCGACCGCUACUGCUAGGCACACGACAGCUGCAGAAAGAAACAGGAAUCGAUCAAUCGCUGCGUCUUGGAUCUGCUGUUUUGCGCUUCUUCAACUAGCCUUGCCAUUUUAGCCACUGCAGAGUUCUCAGCCAUUGCUGUUGUCCUCACACUAAUGUAUCCUACAGAAGAAACAAUGAUCA